rnacentral:lncRNA from 13 species
GGUAAGGUUGUACCGGGCGGGUAAAGGUUGUACCGGGCGGGUAAGGUUGUACCGGGCGGGUAAGGUUGUAUUUAAAGAUUGACCACCUUGGUAAGAAUCAAUUGACUGUUUGGCUUUGUUGUGGUUCUUUUGUCGUUCCUAACCCUUUUGCCCUGUUACCAAGCAGAGCACCAAAGUCUGCAAGAGACACUCGUCGGUCAUCCCAUCCUCUCAUAUCCUAGAUGAGGUGAAGACAGGAAGGACUGGACCAGACAGGAGAGAGUUAACAGCCCUGGAGAGGCUCAACGGCGUCGGCUCUGCUGCUGCUGGUGGUCCCAAGGUUUGUUUCUGAGUGAGAGUGUUAGUUAGUUAUGAAAUGUAUUUGACAGAGGGACAGUGCAUAUCAAUCAUCACUGCAACAUCAACAGGUUCAACGUCAUUGCUAAAGUGUCAGAGUUAGGAAUCAGCAACGAAGCUCAAUUUCUGUCUGUUUUGUCCCAUAGGUGCAGAGGUCUACCCUUGUGUUUGGCCGUCCCAGCAUCAAUCUCUCCUCCUCUACCUCCUCUACGGCCCCUCGGGUCCAACUUCGCUCCCAGCGCUCGAGAAUACUGUUCCGACCAAUCAGCAUGCCCUUGGAGCGCCUGCCCCUCCCCACCCCCUCCCAGCUCGUUGAGAGGAACGACCAGAACACCAACGAUGCCGCCAUGUUGGAUCCCACCGCUGACUCCAUCACGGAGUCGGCCGAGCCGGAGAAGGAAACACCUCGGAUUGGUGAGGGGUCAAGGGUCAGUACCUACUUUAUCACACCCUUCAAUCCCCAGGCCGUGCAGCGUAGGACCUGGGACAGGAAGUACAAACACUACGAUGUCACGCCGCGCACCGCCAUGAUCAUGGCUAAUUUACCGCCUGCCGGUGCUGGCCCCGGAACACAGCCGACAGGGAAGCAGCCCACGAUGCCGACACAACCAUCCGUAUCUGGGCCGACUAGCUCUGCUCUCCCAUCCAGUGGAAGUGUCGGCACCAUAUUNNNNNNNNNNNNNNNNNNNNNNNNNNNNNNNNUGCUGGGAUAGUGUUCUGCACAACCACAACAUCAUUCUGCCUUUGCUGGCAUGUCUUACCUUUUUCUAUUUGAAGACAGUAUACAUCGUGUUACAGGAUGACUAGCAGAGUUACGCUGACUAACUAUUAGUAUGAACGGUGAUAUCGAAGAUGGUUCAAUAGUUUAGAAACUCCGGGGCCAGGUGUUCCUGCUACCUCAGUGGUUUAGAAACUCCGAGGCCAGGUGUUCCUGCUACCUCAGUGGUUUAGAAACUCUGGGGCCAGGUGUUUCUGCUCCCUCAGUGGUUUAGAAACUCCGGGGCCAGGUGUUCCUGCUACCUCAGUGGUUUAGAAACUCCGGGGCCAGGUGUUCCUGCUACCUCAGUGGUUUAG